UACCUGUGGCUCCCCAUUCACCCUCAUAAUAUGCCUGACCUUUCCUAGGCCCGGUGAACAGCAUGACGUCAGAGAGCACCAGGCCCCAGUACCAACAUAUGGAUUUGGUCCCACCAGAAACCACACACCUUUGCACCCCAGAUCGGGAC